rnacentral:rRNA from 1 species
UACGGAGGAUCCAAGCGUUAUCCGGAUUUAUUGGGUUUAAAGGGUGCGUAGGCGGAUGAUCAAGUCAGCGGUGAAAGUUCAUGGCUCAACCAUGAAAUUGCCGUUGAAACUGGUUAUCUUGAGUGUAGAUGAGGUAGGCGGAAUUCGUAGUGUAGCGGUGAAAUGCUUAGAUAUUACGAAGAACUCCAAUUGCGUAGGCAGCUUACCAGGCUACAACUGACGCUGAGGCACGAAGGUGCGGGUAUCAAAC